rnacentral:lncRNA from 1 species
GUGUUUUGAGUUUGGUUUUUGGCUUGGCAGAAUCGGACCUGUCGUUCAGAGGGGACCAGGUUCGGCCGCCGAAAGGAGUUUCGGCCGCCGAACCUGCAUGGGAGGCAGUCUUUAGGCUGCCGAACGUGCCCCCGAAGGAGGGACUUUCGUUUCUGUCCUGGGGUUUCGGCCGCCGAACCUGCCGCCGAACUUACCCGAGUUUCGUCUCUGGAAGGGACUUUCGGCCGCCGAAGGUGCCGCCGAAAGUGCCCUGUCCAGCCGUUUCUUGGGUGUUUCCUAUGCAUGUUUAAGUGAUGUUCUAGGGGGUUUUUGGGGAGUUGUUUAUGAGUUGUUUAGAGUAUGUUUGGCACCUCAUUCGAGUCCACCUGUGUAGGAUCGGACCCGAGAGACCGAGGAGGCCAUCAGUGGUAGCAGUUGCAGAGUCAGUCAGCGUCUGCUAGGAAGUGAGUAGAACUAAACUUAAUGUUUUAUUUUAAGAAAUUCUAAUGCCUAAAGCAUGAGCAUGCAUCAUGAUUAUGUAUAGUAGGUUGAUUGCACUAGUUCACGAAUAUGUUGCAUUGCAUUAUUUCAUGUUGAUGCUGAGGUAGGUUUGGACCAAGGCGACUUCAAUAGCCCAUAUCUGUCAUUGAGUCUUGGGUGAGUCUUUUGAGAGCCGGACAAGUACAUAUAGGAAAGUCCUUGUGAGCUCUCUGUGGACUAGGCACCCUGUCAUGUAUGUGAAAGUCCUGUGUGAGCUCCUUUGGGGGAGCCGGGCACCGACAGAGGGAUUUUUGAGGUCAUGUCCGAUCCUUGAGAGUAAAGAUGCUAGCAAUUCAAAGGAACUCUCUAAAAACACUCCGUGGGGAAUAUUUAUCUGUAUGAGCCCCAAGACGGACAAAGUGAUGUGAUUUACUUGUGUUAUGACGCAUUUCAUGAAAGCAUGUAAUUAAUGAAUGGUUUUUUUUUCUGUUUCUACUCACUGGGCUUUUUAGCUCACCCCUUUCCCCUAACCCCAGUUUUGCAGGUUUAAGUCAGAGUCCAGGGGCUGCAGGGUAAAGUCAAGGUUAAGAUAUACAUGUUGUAAUAGCUUAGAUUGUGUUAAUGUUUAGUAGUUUUAGAAGUGGACAUGUAAUAUAAGUUGAUGUAAUGUAAUUUGAGAUGAUGUAUGUAACUGAUAGUAAUGUUUAUGGAUUAGAGUGUGCUUGGCCCUAUAGACUGGUUAAUCC